CCUACGGGCGGCAGCAGUCGAGAAUCAUUCACAAUGGGGGAAACCCUGAUGGUGCGACGCCGCGUGGGGGAAUGAAGGUCUUCGGAUUGUAAACCCCUGUCAUGUGGGAGCAAAUUAAAAAGAUAGUACCACAAGAGGAAGAGACGGCUAACUCUGUGCCAGCAGCCGCGGUAAUACAGAGGUCUCAAGCGUUGUUCGGAAUCACUGGGCGUAAAGCGUGCGUAGGCUGUUUCGUAAGGCGUGUGUGAAAGGCGCGGGCUCAACCCGCGGACGGCACAUGAUACUGCGAGACUAGAGUAGUGGAGGGGGAAGCGGAAUGCGCGGUGUAGCAGUGAAAUGCGUAGAUAUCGAGAGGAACACUCGUGGCGAAGGCGGGUUCCUGGACAUUAACUGACGCUGAGGCACGAAGGCCAGGGGAGCGAAAGGGAUUAGAUACCCGAGUAGUC
rnacentral:rRNA from 1 species